rnacentral:piRNA from 1 species
UCUCAGCCUGCUUUGAAUAAAUAUAAACUAC